AAAUUGAUCACCUCCAC
rnacentral:misc_RNA from 1 species